UACGUAGGUGACAAGCGUUGUCCGGAUUUACUGGGCGUAAAGAGCGCGCAGGCGGUCGUUCAAGUCGAGUGUGAAAGCCCCCGGCUCAACUGGGGAGGGUCACUCGAUACUGAUCGACUGGAAGGCAGGAGAGGGUAGUGGAAUUCCCGGUGUAGUGGUGAAAUGCGUAGAUAUUCGCAAGAACACCAGUGGCGAAGGCGGCUGACUGGUCCGGAUCUGACGCUGAGGCGGACGAAAGCGUGGGGAGCAAACAGGG
rnacentral:rRNA from 1 species